AUCUAUGGCCAUUCCACCCUGAACAAGCCCAAUCCUGUCUGAUCUUGGAAGCUAAGCAGGGUUGGGUCUGGCUAGUACUUGGAUGGGAAACCACCUAAGAAGACCAGGUGCUGUAGGCG
rnacentral:rRNA from 1 species